UAGGAAAUUAAUAGAGAAAUAAAGACUUCUCUAAAGGAAUAAGAGUGUCAGUAUCAACAUGUAAGGCUUCAUAGUCUCAUCCAUAUAGGAGCUUGUUUGCAACCAUGUUGCAUGGGCUCCUACCGGAUAGGGAUUACGUGGCUAUAGUGUUUCAUGCAAAUCCUUGAAAUACACUAAAAGGUUGGCUCAUAACAUCCAUUAAAGAAAAAUAAUCACUAUAUAAUAGUCUGCAUUAUUAAUCAAGCUUUCUGUCACCAUUUCCAAAUCACUAGAGGUGGCAAAAUCAAACCCACCCAACCCGCGCAAUUGCCACCCCUACAUAUCACGCAUAAAUAGUAACAGCAUAAUGGCAAUAUAAUGGAUUAUUUUAUAUAGUAAAACAAGAUGAAAUAAGAAUACACAUAUUACCAAAACAUAGAAAAGAACACCCUAAAGGUAAGCUAUCUUUUUUAGUGUAAGGGUAUCCAGUGAAAUCAUUAUAGCAUUGUUUAAGAAAGAUUUCUAACAUUUCUAGAUUGAAAAUGUGUACAUAUGUAAUAAUCAUUAAAGCAAUUUUUUUAUUUUGGUGCCACAACAUUUUUCUUAAGAAAAGCAAGGAAAAAAAUUUGUGUGCUAGUUAUUAUGACAUCCUUGGUAGAUUUUUAUCCAACAAUAGUUAUUCCGGUAACAAAUGGGUGGUGUAUACUCCAAGAGUAUUUUAUUAUUAGAACGGAAAAGGUCCAAAUAUGCGCCAUAAAACUUUGUGAAAUGGUCCAAAUUUGCCAUCCGUCAAUAGGUGGGGCCAAAUAUACCACGUCGUUACAAUAUUGGUCCAAAUAUGCCUUUAUUUACUGACACGUGGGCAUUUUUCACAAGGAAAAAUGGUCAAAUUUUCCCUGAACUAUGCGAAAUGGUCUAUCCAGUUGGACCUUGUCCCUUAUUGGAAAACAAAUUUCUACCCAUUUGAAGACGUAGACGUGUUGUGAGUUUGUAGUAUUUUUUUUAUUUUUUUUGAUAACCGAGAAAUCCGUCUGUGACCCGCCCUUUGGACCAAUCACAGCCUUCUAAACUCGGUGGAUAAUGGGCCCGCCCCUCUACCCUUCUCCACUUAAAUACCGGGCUUCGCUUUGCAUGGUGUGGGGCUUGAAUGAGUUUGUAGUAUGAUGAACUAAAUGUUAGACGAUAAAUGCAUAUGCACUAAAUAAUCAGUGAUUGUUAUUGACCAUAUUAUAAAUCUGGUGUUAUCGGCACACAGUUUGUCCGUGAAACAAACGACCUCUAAAAACUUGUUAAUAACUAGAAUAAUAUUGAGAGUCAAAUUUCAUCACAAUGUCAUUACCCGAAGAAGGGUGAUUUUAAAAAACCAAAAAAUGAGAUAAUAGCAAUACUUAAGCGUUUAGAAAAGGAAAAAGAAAAAAUUGGUAAACGAUAAUUAUUAACAAAGAAAGAAAAAAAACAGCAGCAAAGAUAAGCUAUAGCAGACCGUACAGCUUCGCUGGACCAUCUUCAACACUGCGUCAGAAAAUAAAUUGCACCAAAUUUCUUCACUUCCUCUUUAGGUUUUCAAGACUAAUGGAGCUAUUAGUAUUCUACAACGUCAACAGGUACUGGACUAUUCAAAAACAUUAC
rnacentral:lncRNA from 1 species